GAUGAACGCUGGCGGCGUGCCUAAUACAUGCAAGUCGAGCGAACAGACGAGGAUCUUGCUCCUCUUACGUUAGCGGCGGACGGGUGAGUAACACGUGGAUAACCUACCUAUAAGACUGGGAUAACUUCGGGAAACCGGAGCUAAUACCGGAUAAUAUAUUGAACCGCAUGGUUCAAUAGUGAAAGACGGUUUUGCUGUCACUUAUUGAUGGAUCCGCGCCGGAUUAGCUAGUUGGUACGGUAACGGCUUACCAAGGCAACGAUGCGUAGCCGACCUGAGAGGGUGAUCGGCCACACUGGAACUGAGACACGGUCCAGACUCCUACGGGAGGCAGCAGUAGGGAAUCUUCCGCAAUGGGCGAAAGCCUGACGGAGCAACGCCGCGUGAGUGAUGAAGGUCUUCGGAUCGUAAAACUCUGUUAGUAGGGAAGAACAAAUGUGUAAGUAACUAUGCACGUCUUGACGGUACCUACUCAGAAAGCAACGGCUAACUACGUG
rnacentral:rRNA from 1 species